GAUGAAGAACGCAGCGAAAUGCGAUACUUGGUGUGAAUUGCAGAAUCCCGUGAACCAUCGAGUCUUUGAACGCAAGUUGCGCCUCAAGCCAUUAGGUUGAGGGCACGUCUGCCUGGGCGUCACAUAUCGUUGCCUGAUGCCAGUUUCCUCGUGAUGGGUGACUGUGCAGGGCGAAUGAUGGCUUCCCGUGAGCAUUGUUGCCUCAUGGUUGGUUGAAAAUUGAGUCCUUGGUAGGGAGCGCCGUGAUAGAUGGUGGUUGUGACGAACGAGACCCAAUCAUGUGAGACCCCUACCGAAUUUGGCCUUCAUGACCCACAUGCGUCCUUGGAACGCUCAUGACGAGACCUCAGGUCAGGCGGGGCUACCCGCUGAGUUUAAGCAUAUCAAUAAGCGGAGGA
rnacentral:misc_RNA from 1 species